GUUUUAUAGAUGAGAAGAGUGAGGCUGAGUGUGGAACUGUCUCACCCAAGACUGUGCAUGGUAGCUUUUUGACCUAAAGUCUUACUAUAAACUCACAGCACUAUGCAGCCCAGAAAAACCCUUCACAGAGGUGGCUCAAGAGUAUUACGACAGUCUGUUAAUCAAUUCUCAUUUAACAGAAGUGAUAUGGUUUGGCUUUGGGUCCCUGCCCAAAUAUCAGGUCGAAUUGUAAUCCCCAGUGUUAGAGGAGGGGCCUGGUGGGAGGUGAUUGGAUCAUGGGGGCAGUUUCUAAUGGUUUAGCACCAUCCCCCUAGUGCUGCUUGUUUAAAAGUGUGUAGCACCUCCUCCUUCACUCUCUCUCUCUUUCCCACCAGCCAUGUGAAGAUGUGCUUGCUUCCCCUUCACAUUCUGCCAUGAUUGUAAGUUUCCUAAGGCCUCCCCAGGAGCAGAAGCUUGUAUAGCCCACAGAACCAUGAGCCAGUUAAACUCCUUUUCUUUAUAAAUUACCCCAUCUCAGGUAUGUCUUUAUAGCGGUGUGAGAACAGACUAAUACAAGAGGGAAGAAAAAAACAAGGAGUAGAGAAGUCAAAAGAUACGUUCAGCAAGCGCAAGAUAAGGAACAAUGCUGGAAAAAAAAGUUGGUUUUUUUGUUUUGUUUUGUUUUGUUUUGUUUUUGCAGCAAAGGAAUUGUGUACUUUUUGUUCCUUUAAUAGCAGAAGGCCAUUGGGAAUCUCCUUGGUCUGAAAGGCAGCCUGCAGUUUUUGCACUGGCUCAACUGCCACAAGAGAGAAACUAUGGCUUUUGCUCACAGGUAUGAAAUGAGGUCUAACCCACUUCAGGGAAGUGAUAUGACCCUGAUAGCAAUGUCCUUUAGACUACAAGACGGAUCUUGUCAAAUUCAGGAUACUCCUACUUCAAAUUUUCCUCAGUUCCCAGUCUCUCUGACUUAGAGCUGAAGAGUAGAGGGGAAGGAUGUUCUACUUUUCUUUCACUAGUGAUGGGGAUGAUAGAAGAUGCCAAUGAUGUCUAUUUAGGGCAAAAGAACUGACAUUAUUGAAUAUGAAGAAAUGUGAAAGUGUGCAGAGGAGGGAAGGAACCUCUCUGUGUCUGGUCCUCGUGUCCCUGGGUGCCCCUUGCAUCCUUGUAUCCCCCUCCUCCACUUGGCUUGGUCAGACCAUGGCUAUAGAUAAAGUAGCCAUGGGGAGGCUGGGAUUUGUAAGCUGAAGUACAGCAGCACUCAGAAACCAACAACGAUUCCUCUUUCUGCUUAGCGCAAAGCUUGUGCUGGGGCCCAGGAUAAGCCCUGCCUCUGCAGACUGGUUGAGUUGGAUUGGAUGGUGGAAUGCCUUAGUCACAUCCUAAGUCAUAUGACUUGAGCCUCAGUGUAUCCGAACCCACGUAGACCAUAGUGUUACGGCAAGAGUCACUAGAAUUCAUUUGGAUUCUUGUUCUGUCUAGAAGGCUCCCACCAUCUCUUCUCUACCUGGCAGAUGUCUACUCAUCUUCCAAGAUCCAAAGGCACCCACCUCUGUAGCCUUCACUGACUCCUCCUGGCAGAGGUCAGUCCUCUGGACUCCCACAGUACUCUGCUCCACUUUCUUCAGCACUUAUCCCAUUUGAUACCCAUCACCUGCCUAGUCCUCUGCUCCCCUUUUCACUGUGAGCUCCCCAAGAUACAGUGCUUUCUCAUAUCUGCAUCCUCUGCCCCAGCAGAACUCAAUAGAUAGCCAAUCAGUGUUUGCUCCGUCAAUGAAUGGAUGAGAACAUUGAGACGGCCUUAAAGGAGAUUUUCUCAGAUGCAUCACAGGGGCCUCAGGCCCCCACCUGUGCUGCCAGACCCUCGCAGGGCCCCUGAGGUUUCUGCAUUCUUUAGGUCUGCCUGGUUUCUUGGUUUAUCUCUGCCUCUGCCCCUUUUUGGUGGAUUCAUUGACUCCUGCCUCCCCUUAUCUCCCAUUGGGUCUUGAGGCAAUGAUACCUUCGUGUUUUCCCAGCAUCUCCUAUUUGUACCACAGCCCAUGAGAAGUUGUGUUAACCCGGAGAUCAUGUGGAAUGCUCUUCAGAGGUGCACAAUACCCCACCCUCCUCCCUCUCUGCCUUUCACAAUACCCCAGAGCUGCCUCAGAUGUGCCCCUCAAGCAGUUAUGUGUUUAACGACUGGCUGGGGGGAGGGGGAGGUGAGGGGAAAGGGCGUACUGAGUUACAGCAUUUGCCAAGUUCUGUUGUGUAAACUACUCCCCCUGUGGCCAGUCUGAAGCUACUGAGGUGAUGUCAGCAAGCGCAGAGCUGUGAAGAGGCGCGGACUGGCACAUCAUCAUGUGGUUUUUCCAGCACAGAGAUACAGGAGACAUAAACACCCUCAAGAACAUAAAGCUGUUGGUCUCAGCGUCAGUUGCCCUCCGCACACCAGACUGUCCAACCAGGGCAGGGGAGUGAGGCAGUUUCUAUAGCAACAGAACCACAGCUGCACCCCACUGUCCCCACACCUCUGCACCAUUUCCCUCUGCCUACCCGCUUGCUUCUCCCAGGACACAAAACAGCCAGGCAAUUCCCAGGCCAGGAUAUAAUAAUUCCUGCCAAGAGUGCUGCGACUCUGACCACCUCUGUUGGUUUCUUGCUUUGUGUCUGCCUCUGCCCCUUUUAGGUGGAUUCCCUGACUCCCUCCUCUCCUUCUCUCCCAUUUGGUGUAGAAGCUGUGACACCUUCAUGCUACCCAGGGUGUCUCUCAUUUGUAUCAGUAAGCUGUGAACACUUAUGCUAUGAUGACCUUGGGAUAAGAAUAUAAAUCCAUGUUAACCACCAUCACCAUCUCACCAUCAUACAACUAUCAUGACCAGUUUACCCCAACAUGCUACCCCAUAACCACCCCACAGCAACAUCACCAUCACCUCCGCCUCCACCAGCACCCAUCAUCACACCACGCUCCACAGCCAGCUCACUAUCACCUCUACCAGCACCCACCUACCACACCCCCUCCACAGCCACCUAAUUAUCACCAGUACCCCCUCCCCCACCAUCUCCCCGCCUACCAUCCAUCCCACUUCCUUUAAUGAAAACAGGUGAUGCUGCGGGGGCUGCAUACAGUCCAGCAAACCCUGUCGAGCGCUGGCUUGGCUCACCCUGUCCCAUGGUUGCAGGCCGCUCCUCUUAUCCACUUGGCCGCAGAAAGCGCCUGUCUCGAACUGUUGCUUCUGGGCUCCUUCUGGGCUUUCUGUCUUCCAGACAGAAAAUAUGAAGGCACUUUUGUUGGCUUAAGAAUCUGGAAAUAUCAAAACCUCCCCCCACUACUCCUGUGAGCACCCUGACAUGUUUCUUCUCUCCUACUCCCUCCCUGCUGGUAUCUCCUGGACCAGUUACUGGGAGUAACCCUGUUCAUUUUAUCUCUUGUGCCAGGAGCCCCAGGCAGGAAUACGCCUGGCAGCCCUGGGGGAGGGGGUGGGAUAGGGAAGACCUGCCAACUAGAGAAGCCUAGAACAAACCUUGAAGCCUCUUGCUUCAGUGGUCUCAAGAGACUCUCAGAGAUGUUAUCUGGAGGGUACUGGAAGACUCUGGAAGAGAGGAGGCCACAAACAGGAGUCCCAUAUCCAACUCCAAAUCUCAGGCCCUAAACGUGACAGGGGCUGCAAGUUGCAAGAUGUUCAUGGGCUGUUUUGAUAAUAGAGAGAACACGUGCAUCUGCAAUUUAUCUGUGUGAAAAAGAUAAGGAAGUAGAAUUUGUUGGUGAAAAAUAAAUGUAUUAAAAGUAGAAGCUGG
rnacentral:lncRNA from 1 species